rnacentral:lncRNA from 1 species
AAAAAAUCUGAGAACUCCAAUUCCAAUGAUGUGUUGAUGAACAUAUUAAACAUUGUAGAUAUGUAUAUUAUGUGUGCAUAUUAUAGAUAUAUUUGAAAGGCUACAGAUCAGUGAUCAAAAUAGUGAUCCAUCAGUGAUCAGUCAACAUAAAUAAUGGUAUCAGUUAGUGUAUAAUAGACUUCUACCAGGGAAGGUCUCUAGGUCUUGAACAAAGUGAGAUUAUCAUGAUUUUCCUCAUCAAAAUGAGAGUUUAUCCUAGUGACCAAAUUGCUGUGAUUUAGCAAGUUACUGCAUAGUGCCUGACUUGCAGUAUUGUUUAUGAGUUUGCCUGUGGCAAACAAAAAGCAAAUGUAAUUUUAUUUAGUCAGCAAUGAAGGAAUCUUAAACUGAAUCAGAUUUCGCUCAUGGUGAGAGCAGAAUAAAUGUAAAUGCACGCAGUGUGGUUCAGUUGAGUCACAGUAACCUGUUAGACCACAUCAAGGUGAUUAUAUACAUUAGUCCUUAUUCCGCUCCAAAGUGCAGACCACACAGAGAACAGAGAAGCAGUAUAUUACUAUAUCUGAUAUAAAACUCUUAAAUUUCAGGAUACUGCUGCUUAGUUUCUGCUUUUCCAGUGACUUGAAACAUGAUAAGAAAAAAAUCAUUACAGACUCUGCACCUUAGCUUCUCCAAAUGUUGUCUGUGGAUAAUAAUUCUCAGCUGCCCUGUUGGUUGCAGUCCUCUGGCUUCUGUACAGAUGAACUUUCCACUUGGUAGUGAGCUGUUCUUGUGGACUCUUGGCCCUGGAUUUGUCCUGGAACAUGGCAACAUCUAGCAUGGUCACUGAACACCUUACAGCAGAGAAUGUCUGCAUUGAACAUUUUCCAUAUUGCACCAAAACUGAAUUUCAGUCAGAAUGACCUGGAAAGAAGAGCUCAGGAUGAGGAAUCAGAAUCUGUGAGUGCUGUUCCUUACUUUGCUGCAGACACCUUAGAUAAGCAUUAACAACCCAUGAGUUUUCUUUAGAACUUGUAAGAUAUUUAACCCACAAAUAAAAUACAAGAUUUAAUGUAUUUAUCUUCA